rnacentral:rRNA from 1 species
UACAGAGGUCUCAAGCGUUGUUCGGAAUCACUGGGCGUAAAGGGUGCGUAGGUGGCUGGGUAAGUUUGAUGUGAAAUCUCCGGGCUUAACCCGGAAAUGGCAUUGAAUACUAUUCGGCUAGAGGUUUGGAGGGGGGACUGGAAUUCUUGGUGUAGCAGUGAAAUGCGUAGAUAUCAAGAGGAACACCAGUGGCGAAGGCGAGUCCCUGGACAACUUCUGACGCUGAGGCACGAAAGCUAGGGGAGCAAACAGG